UGCCCUAGCUAAGCCUGGGGGCCAGCAUGCCCGAUGAUAGUCUGGGAGUGCUGCAGAGUCCCCACAAUGGGCACCCAGCCUGUGCCCUUGCAUUCUGCAUGAUCGUGGCCAUUGUCACCUCAGAGCCCCUGUGUACAGAUCAGUGCAUCCUAGCAGAGCUGCAUGUGAGGAAAGACCACGUGAGUCCCGGGAAAGAGCUGAGGCCCUGCAGGGGAAGGUGGCCAGGACCGAGACCUGAUGCCUGUCUGGAGAAUCGUCUGUGGGUCCAAGAUGAAGGAUGAGAAGUGGUUGCUACGAAGGACCCUCCUGCAGCGAACCCACUGUGAGGAGGCUACGCUGACCCAGCCUGUCAUUUCCUUCUCUAAGCUCAUUCCAGAGGUCGGCCAGGGGCAGGGGCAGCCUGUACCUGCCUGCUCUUGUGGCCCGUGAAUCAAGAAUGGAUUUUACAUUUCCAAAUGCCUGAACAAAUAAAAAAAUAACAAUUCA